AACGAACGCUGGCGGCAGGCCUAACACAUGCAAGUCGAGCGCCCCGCGAGGGCUUCGGCCUACGGGUGAGUACCGCGUGGGGACGUACCCUUUGGUUCCUAACAACUCCGGGAAACUGGAGCCAAUACCGGAUAAGUCCUAACGCGUAAAGAUUUAUCGCCGAAAGAUCGGCUCGAGUCUGAUUAGCCUGUUGGUUGGGUAACGGCCCCCCAAGGCGACAGUCGGUAGCUGGUCAGAGAGGAUCAGCAGUCACACUGGGACUAAGACACGGCCCAGACUCCUACGGGAGGCAGCAGUGCGGAAUAUUGGACAAUGGGCGCAAGCAUGAUCCAGCCAUGCCGCGUGAGUGAUGAAGGCCUUAGGGUUGUAAAGCUCUUUUGUCCGGGAAGAUAAUGACGGUACCGGAAGAAUAAGCCCCGGCUAACUUCGUG
rnacentral:rRNA from 1 species